GCGAGUCAUUGUAGUAAUACAAGGCAGACGGCUCAGUAACGCGUACUUACCUAACCUAUGGACGGGAAUAACCUCGGGAAACUGAGCAUAAUGCCCGAUAGAACAUUAUGCCUGGAAUGGUUUAUGUUCCAAAUGAUUUAUCGCCGUAGGAUGGGACUGCGGCCUAUCAGUUUGUUGGUGAGGUAAUGGCCCACCAAGACUAUUACAGGUACGGGCUCUGAGAGGAGUAGCCCGGAGAUGGGUACUGAGACACGGACCCAGGCCCUAUGGGGCGCAGCAGGCGAGAAAACUUUGCAAUGUGCGAAAGCACGACAAGGUUAAUCCGAGUGGUUUCUGCUAAAGGAACCUUUUGUCGGUCCUAGAAACACCGAUGAAUAAGGGGUGGGCAAGUUCUGGUGUCAGCCGCCGCGGUAAAACCAGCACCUCAAGUGGUCAGGAUGAUUAUUGGGCCUAAAGCAUCCGUAGCCGGCUUUGUUAGUUUUCGGUUAAAUCUGUACGCUCAACGUACAGGCUGCCGGGAAUACUGCAGAGCUAGGGAGUGGGAGAGGUAGACGGUACUCGGUAGGAAGGGGUAAAAUCCUUUGAUCUAUUGAUGACCACCUGUGGCGAAGGCGGUCUACCAGAACACGUCCGA
rnacentral:rRNA from 1 species